AAGAACAUUCUCUGUUUUUUUAUCAUACUUUACAGCUCUUCUGCUUCGUCAUCUCGUGAAAGGGACAUUUUUUACCAGCGGACUAACUCACGGACUCAAUUUAAAAGCAGAUAGCGGUGAUGACCUGACAAUCAAGUUUAAACCAGAUUGCAUUGCUGUAGAUGGUAUUAAUAUUGAGUACUCUGAUAUCACCGCAUCCAAUGGCGUCAUUCACGUAAUCGACCAUUUCUUGUGAUGUCAUCAGAAAUACUGAGGCUUUUUUGUGUAGUUUACAUUGAUUGGUACCGGCUUUGUUUAGCAUGUUACACGAUAACUAGAAUAAAUAGUCGAUCACGACGCCCAUGUUACUUUUUUUUUAUCUUGUUAGCUGAUUUUUCGCAAACUGUAAACUUUAAACAAAACUCAAUAAAUGUCCUUAUGAAAUAA